GGGACUGGAUGCCAUGGACUUAGUUUUCUGAAUGUUGAGUUUUAAGCCAGCUUUUUCACUCUCCUCUUUCACUUUCAUCAAGAGGCUCUUUAGUUCUUCUUCGCGCUCUGCCGUAAGGGUGGUGCGUUGAAAUAAAAUGGUGAAGUGUGGCUUUUGCAUUAAUCUCCGCCUCCAUACUUUUGUCAUAAUGAAACCUUGUAAAAAGAUAUGUUUAGUAUUUUAUUUUAUUUUGCAUACCAAUUUUAUUUAUUUUCAUUUAUUUUUAUUAGUUGGAGGCUAAUUACUUUACAAUAUUGUAGUGAUUUUUGCCAUACAUUGACAUGAAUCAGCCAUGGAUUUACAUGUGUUCCCCAUCCCAAUCCCCCCUCCCUAUGUUUAGUAUUUUAAUAACUAUAAACCAUCUUGAAUUGAUUCAUUUUGUUUCCUGAAGUGGUCCUCUGUUUGUUUUUACACUAAUGCUUGUAUGAUGACAUUUAUUCAGUACCUGCAGUGCCGGGGAUUGUCCUAGCAGCUGGGGGCAAGCUGCACGUGAGACCAGUCUUCACAGAGCUCACAUUCUCUCAGGUCUGAGAUUUCAGUGUGUUUUGGGGAAAAUGGAGUAAAGGUAAAUAAAGUUAGGUAGCUUUGUGUUUUAGGGCAUUCUUUGGUGUAAAAGAGAAAAACUUUUCUUGGUGUUCGAAACUUAUUUCUGGAAAUGUUUUUCCUGUGGAACCAAGAGAAAUACAGUAACCAUUAAAAAUCUUCUUCCUGUAUUACUGAUUUGACUGCAGUUUCAUGCCUUAAUGCUGCAGAAGUCUGCCUAGAAUGGCUUAUGAAUUAGGAAAUAAACAUAGCCAGGUAGUUCAUAUAGAAUAUAUAGAGAAUUUAUGAGAAUUCAGGCCCCGGAGACAGAUCUGCUUUGACUUCCCACUUGCACGGUUCUGUGCUUGUCUGACUUUGGACAAGUGUUCUCAUGUCUGAGUCACAGUUGACUCACCUGUAAAAUGAGAAUAAUAAGUAAUAAGAGUAUCAGCUUCAUGGCUUGUUAUUAGGGUUAGAUGACAUAAUUCAUGCAGAGUUCUCGAUACUUGGUGAGCGUCCAGUAAAGGCUAGAUUGUGAAAGCAGCUGUGAUCACUUCAGGACAUUGAGUCUGCUUCAGUGUUGUGGGUGCUGUGGAAAGCAUGGGACUCCGGGGUUCAGAGACCAGGGUGUGUGAUCGUCAGGGCACUACAGGCAGCAUCUUCAUAGCUGCGUUGGUUUCCUUUGCCCUUCAUUGCAUGGGGUGACACACAGGGCUUCAGUGUAGGCGGGUGCUGCCCACGUGGUGGAUUUGUGUCAUAGCUGAGAAACUUAGAGCGUAGGGCCCUGAAUCUUUCAUGAUGCUGCACAGAAGCCUGCCUGACCUUUUUCCAGAGGAAGAUCUGAGCUUUAUCAUGCUGGGUAGUAGAGAAGCCUACUCUUUGGGAGGAGGUACUGUCUUCCAGGGCUGUUGACUCUGUUGUACAUCCCCGGAAAGACUGUGUGAAAGCCCCCAGGGCCUGCACUGACCAAGCUGCAGAAAUGCCAGGACCCAUGGAGACUGGUCUGUCAGCAGGCCCCCAAGUCCCUGGUCUAAAGGAUGCCACAGCCUUCGCAGGGUAACGUUCAUGCACACAGCUGUUUAUUCUGGAGCUGCAUCCCAGAGACCUUUUCUGUUUCUGUAACGCUCCAUGCUGUAUUCAGGACCACGUAUCCUGAAGCAUUUGAUUCUCUUCUCAGUAAGCAGAUACUGUUGAACUCAAGUUGGUAUACAUGUUGAGGUGUUCAGGAGUUUUCGGUUAAGCCUUGGAAUGCAGGAAGAUAAGAUGGAUGGACACAGAUGGCUAGAUACCCAGUGUUACGUGCCUGGAAUACAUUUUUAGGUAAAGGAGUCAGGCUGUUCUCCCUAAGGACAGCCUUCCAGCAGCUCCUCCAGUCCUCACGUCAGACAGAACACCUACAUCUAAUUUUGUGAGAUUCUCAGAGUGUCUGUGACCCACGAAGUGUAACAGGUAUCUGCCUGAACCCGCUUCCAGCUAUAAAUCUGGUUUUUAUGCUUGUGGUCAUUAGUACUUAGUGAUUUUGCGUUUUAACCCAGAAGAUGGCUUUGGAAGCAACCCUUAUUGAGAGACUUGGUUAGAGGGACGCAGUGGUGCAGAAAACCUCAAAUUCAUUUGUUAAGUGGGUUUAUUACAGGUAAUUCUACAUUUCACUGAGGUUAACUUAUUCAGUUAAGAAUUUGGUUUUAGUGAAAUUUUUUUCUUUUGACAUGUUAUUUUCAUCUUUAGAUAGUUUGUAUUUUCAUGUCUAGAAAGAUCACAGUCUAUUAAUUGAAGAUUUAUAUUCCCUGAUGGGCAAUCAAAAAUGUGAGUACUGUUUCAGAAUUCAUAUGUUGAUGAAAAUGGACACAUGGUCAUUUAAAAAAUCAGUUUAAAAAACCAGUUAUUUUACCUUAUUUUGAAUAGUUGGUACUUUCCUCUAAAAUCAGGGACAUUUUAGAAAUUGAAUUUAAGGGGCUUCCUUGGUGGCUCAGAUGGUAAAGAAAUUGAAUUUAAAAUGACAAGGUUACAUAAUUAUGUUAUGAAAAUAUAGGAUUGUUCUAAAUUAAGAUUUGUAAAAUGUUAGCUAUUUUACUAAGAAACUUCUGAAAACAGACUUUUAAAAAUUAUACUUUGCGCUAAUCUUAAAAUCCUAGUUGAAAUAAUAACAUAAAAAUUGACACAUUCUCAGGUACCUGUAGUAACUUGUGGAUUUUGAGAAUGUUAGGAAAUGGGAUCUGUCUAAGAUUCAUAGUUUUACCAGUGGAUUCACGUGGGAGAAUGCACAGCUGGGGGCUCUCCCCUUGACUCCCUGGGUGGGGGUGUGGGGAUGGGGUGGUCAGGUGCUUGUCAAAGCCUGCAAGCAGUAGUAGUGCUGGGAGGAGCAGCAAGGAUGUGAGAUAAUACGCAAAUACAAUGAGUGACUUGACCGUGAAAUUAAAACGAGCUGUCCAAGAGAUUGUAGUUCUUGUGUAUAUUGUAUAUAUUAAAAAAGAAAGCCUACUUGUUAAUUUAAAUGCCUAUUUCAUGGUAAAAAUUUUUUUAUAACUGGUUCUCUGCCUUUUUUGUGUUUUCUUCUAAUGUUCUCUUGUUUCUAGCUCCUUCUUCUCAUCCCAGUUCCAAAUCUUUGUUAGAAAAUAUAACUCAAAAACUUUUAAGCACAGAGUAGAAUUAAUUUAUCUCCUUGGACUUGAAGUAAGUGCUUUUUCCUGGCCUUUCAUUUGAAGUCUCUCUUUUCCUCUCCCCUUAUCAGUUUGGUCUACUUUCUACCCGGCCCUCCUCACACUGUCCUUGAUUUGUCUGUGGGUGUUGUUCCCCUUCAAGCCUUUGUCUUAGAUAAUUUCCCACUACUCAGCAAAAUGGGAAACUAUUUGGCAGAGUUGGGGAAUUUUCUGUCUUUUCUCAGUCUGGAAUCCUUACUAGAAACAUUUUAAAGCAUACUAGAAAUAUUUUACAGUUUUAAAAGACAUGUUUACUCUGGUUUAUUUAAUUUCAGCCUUGAACUUUGAUUUCAGACUUCUAAAGUUUUUUUUUUUUUUUUCAUUUAGAAACCACUUAAAAUUGCUUUUGGGUUAGGGAGAAGUGUGUGGUUGUUGCUUCUCAUUGGGACAUAUUUUUUAAGUUUUAUCUUCUGUCUCCAAAUUAACCGGUAUCAGUUUAUUGUCUAAAUCUGCAUAAAAUGUCUUUAGGCUUUUCUUGAACCAAGAACUGUACUGUUUCUCCGCACUCCAGUUUACCCCCCUUUUUUUAAAAAAACAAUGGUUUUAGAUUUACUUAUUCAGGCAGGAGUACAUCACCGUUUUGGUUUCUUUGUUUUGCAAUUUUAUGUUUGGGUGUUGAACCAAAGCUUAAAAAUACCUUUGUAUGUAGAGCAUUUGACACAGUUACCUUAGUAAAAAUGUGACCAACAUGAGUGAAAGGAGCCAGUGAGGGGAUCAAAGCUGAUGGAGGUGGGGCGGGACCACCUGUCUCCCAGCCUGCUGUCUUCAGGUGGAGAGACUUUGUCCUUGGCUCGGUCAGGUGAGUCUGAAGACAGGCUCUGGUUUGCAGAGCACUGGAGAACCGAUCUUUUCAGUAAUGCGGUAAGCAUGUACUGGGAGAAUACAGUUUGGGGUUUAUUUCGUAAGUUGUGAAACUUUCAGAACACAUUUUACGUGAUGGAAACAAGAAAAGUUCGAGUAGGGAUUUUAUGGGUUGGUUAGGAACAAAGGAGAGAACACAGCCCCUUUGUGAGUCCCUACCUGUAUGUGUACUUCAGUACACACUUUACGUAAAGUCGAGGUUAUGUUUCUCCAGUUUUGGAUUCUGUGUUUGUGUGGGUGUGACUCCAAUUAACAUUUUUUCCCGUUUUUGUUUUUUAAAAUC